GGUUGUCAAUUUGCUUUGCAUACUGACACAUUGAUAAAGAGACUAGUACUCAUGUGUUUUCCGUGCCAACGCUUUCACAGCCAAAAAAGUUCAGUUGGUCAUGGCCUGAUCCGUUAUUUUUACCACGAAAUAUACAAAAUUAAAUCGCAAUCAAUGCUAUAUUAUAAUAUUAUCUAAUUAGCUUCUUAUUAAUUAUAUUAAGUUUCUAAUAAAGCGUUGACAGGGUAAUUUCCAUUUUUAAUUAAAUAAAAAAUCUUACAAUUUAAUCUUUAUUUGAUUUAUACCAAUUUAAACAUUAUACCCUUUUUUGACGUGCUCCAAUUAAGUUCCUGACACGUGGCAGUUAUUUACACGGUAGCACAUUAUCCAUGAUACACACGCGUUCGCUAUCGUGGCCAGUACAUGUACUCAUAAAUCAGCUGUGCAAUGAUUGAAAGUGUUGAAAACUUCAUUUAAAAAUAAAUUAAAAAAUUCUGCUAAUAUAUCAGAUAAUAACCAAUAUUGGAUGUAAUUUUUCAACAUCAUCUUAAUUAAUAGUACAUAUAAUUUUAACAUUAAAAAAAGAGCUAUUCAGGAACUAAUUAAUAAGUUAAAAACAAACUUCCGGUUAAGUGUAAUUUUAUAGAUCAAAUCUUUCAUUUCUUCGAAAUCUCUCGAGUUUUUUACGCAGUAAAACAAAACGAAAAAAAAAAUAAAUUAAAGAAAUCGGGCUUUAGCAUGUAGUCAAGGACGACCUCAGUGAAAAAUUUACUUGGUUCAUUGAAAAAAAAAGAAAAUAAUGAAUAAUAUAGAAGUCAAAGGAAGAGAUGAAGCCUUUUGUUAGUUUAUUUCUUUGGCCGAUUGGUUGAUCAAACAAUGCAAGGACCGAUCGGAUCCCGCAUAGACCCACAUAAUUAAAGGGGGUAUAAUCAUGGUCCUCCAUAUACUCCUCCUUUCCGUCGAUACUCACAUUAACUUAAUUGCUUUAUUGGAUUAGAUUCAGUGUAAAAUUGAGGAGAAAAUUUGCAAACGUUCCUCACAUAAAUAACCUCAUUUGUUUUCAAAUCUUUAUUUGUUGAUGAAUUUUAUUAUUCAAAGAAUUAGAAAUAAUAUAAAACAGUAUGUUGGAAAAGGUUAUGACAAGCAUCAGUCAACGAUUCUAACCAGCAAUUACGAGAUUACGAUGUAACACUAAAGGUGGUAAAACGUUGGCAAAGGUCAACUGGGGUCUCCAUAUCACAUUUUAGCAUACAUUCAACAUAUACUGUGUGUCAUGUCUUGCAGUAACGAGCUGCUAACGUGGGCGGACAUUCGUGAAACAAGUGGGAUCUCAAGUGAGGUGGAAUGAGAACUGAAGAAAAAAAUCGUCCUCUUCAAGAUGACUAUGAAUUUAUCGAAUGGUUAUAAAUUAGGCCAUGAACAUUCUGUGGUACUUGACCAGGUAGCUGACCAAAAAAGCGUGACUAGAUUGUCUUCACUAAAGUUGGUGCGCGGAUAAGCAGAAUGGACCAUCUUUCUUUGGAUUAUUAUGGAAAAUAAUUGGAUUGAAUAAUUCAACAUGAUUUGAUUAUCACAUUGAAUUAUUUUUUAAAUUUUGAACACCUCUGAGUCUUUAAAGUUUGACAACACAUUUUCUAUGGAUUGUUGAUGAUAUUCAUAAUAUAUUAUAUAAACUUGAUGCACGUGCCUGCUAUCAUUUUUGAGUGAUUUACAGCUGACUUUUACUUCAAAUUACACAUGUAAAAGUCAAAUUUAAAAAUAGCACUUGAUGGUGUUACAAGAAAGGUUUUUUUUUCUUGGUGUUAUUCUACUCAAUUAAUAAUUAUGCACUUGAAUGGAGGAUAUAUGAUAGAGUUAUAGGGUAUUUCGCGAGAUCCAGAUGGAACAGGAAGCCAUAUAAUACAGAACGAAGCGUGCAGCGAUAAAUACUUGUGUAGCCCUUAAGACACCUGCCUGGAUAGUACACAGAUGCUGAAUGCGAGAACGGAAGAUACAUAAUAAUACUAAGCAUGAUUAUACAAAUGACCUAACAACCGAAUCUUAAAAAGUUGCAGUGUCCUUUAUUUUAUUGUUUUCUAGGAUUCCUAGUAGCAGGAUUCUAUUCAGACUUAUUCUUACAUACCUCUUCUUCAUAAUAAUUUUAUCGUUGUAAAAUUAUAAAUGCAUUGCUCUUUAAAAUAUUUUGCUCUAUUUUUCUGCAUGAAAACCUCAAAUUACUUUUAACAGUAAAA